AUGUGUGUGGUUACUUUUGCCACCGCCUACCUGCCGUCGCUUUCAGCUGCUUCCAACUCCCAUGAACUUAAGAGACGGCUUAUCCUCUCUCCCCUUGCCAACAUGAUGAACAGCUUCUCAUCUUUAAAAGGGAUCCAUUAAUCCUUCCUCUCACAAAUGUUCAGAUCAGCCUGCGACCAGUCUCCUCUCUAUGUGUCUUUCGCUUAGUUUAUGCUGUUUCUCCCCUCUCUCUCUCUCUCUCUCUCUCUCUUUCUCUCUCUUUCUCCCCCUCUCUCCCUCUUCUUUCUUGUUCCUAGUACAUGCAUAUGCUGGCUUGAUUGUUGUGUUCUUCCAUCUUUGAUAUGCUUCUUCAUGAUUUAUGCUGGUUUUGUUCCUCAGCUGAUUAAAGGAAAAAAAUUUCUUUUUCCUUAUUUUUCGGGACCUGCAGAAAUGGGGUCUACUCUUUUCUUUUGUUGUUGUUUUUCUCCGUUUCACGUCCGAUUUGUUUUUCUCUCAGUACUUACACUGCUGGUUGAUGGAUGGAACUAUUGAAAGUUCAUCCUCUCUCUCUCAAAGGAGGCUAUCACAUCAACACUGUUCUUUGUAUGAAAGUCUAGGGUUUCUAAGAAUCUUUGGAGGAGAUGACAUGCACUUUAUAUCAUGCCAUCAUCUAUGAUAUCUCUCCUUGAUUUCUGAUCAUGUUUUCGGGAGUGUAUUUGUUGAGCUGCCUUUUCCCUGUGGACAUCUGUGAAGCUUUGCCCGGUGGAGGAUAAAAAUUAGGGUUUCGACGAGCCCCAUCUACAGUAUAUGUUUUCUGAACUCUUGGUCUCUGUAACCUCCAUCGCUGAGAAGAAUUGUGAAGGCAAGACUGCAAAAAGAUUCUGCUUUGCAAUCUAUGCACCUUGAAUCUGAGUAAGUAAUACGCCCCUCUCACUUAUGGGAAACCUUCAACGUGCUCCUGCCAUUUGAUCUCUACCAUCUUGAAACUUGAGCCGGGUAUAAUUAAAACCUGCACUUGUAGAUUCUUUUUCGAGGCCUCGCACUGAUGUCUCCACGACAGUAGCACAGAUCUGAAAAGAUUCAGGAUGCUCCUCGUGGAUCAACAGUGAAAGUACAGUUUCAUUCAGACCUACAACUUAAUUUAAAUGCUAUCAGUGCCGUCUGCAUAUGGUUCUUCAGAAUAUUUUUUCUAUUCCUACAACAUGCACUCUCUCUCUCUCUCUCUCUAUAUGUGGAAAUUAAAUGUCACUGCUCUCUUCAGAGCAUUGCCUGGAAAGGUGGUGUUGUUUCAGCCAGAUCAUGGCGGUGGUAUUUGUGAUUGGAAGUGAUGAAAGUACACAACACUUCACUAAUUUACUCACUGGAUACUGAGGUGUGUCCUCUGCAGAAUUCACAUAUUCCCUUGAAGAAGACCAUGGGAUAGGCUUGCAAUGGCCGCCAGUGUGCUCCUUUUAUAUAAGGGAUGUUGCCAAAGAUAGAAAGAGAGGUCAAUGUAAUGCCAAAUCUCCACAUAGUUUUGCAAUGGAAAGACUUACCCUUAUGGGAAAACGUCUUUAUAUAAGUAAAGCUUUAUUUUCAUUAGUCAA